GCCACGGAGGGUUCAAGUCCUGAGAUCAAGUCUUUUGUUUCCCUAGUGUCAAUCCCAGUUGCUGCUCACUGUAGGCCCUGGUUCUCCUGCUGCACCCGCCAAUGCCAGCGUUUCUCUGAGCACUCGCUGUGUCCUCACCUUGGAACUCUUUGUGGCAGGAAGAAAUAGCUGCAGCUCUCGUGGUGGCUGUGACUCUCUUUGUGGCUGUGAUCCUGCUUUAUUUUCUGGGACUAUAUGUGUCAAAGUAAGUUGAAUUGGUUUCUCUUUCCCUUUCCUCUUAGAGAUGUGCAGUGA
rnacentral:lncRNA from 1 species